rnacentral:rRNA from 1 species
AUGAACGCUGGCGGCGUGCCUCAUACAUGCAAGUCGGGCGAACAGACGAGGAGCUUGCUCCUCUGACGUUAGCGGCGGACGGGUGAGUAACACGUGGAUAACCUACCUAUAAGACUGGGAUAACUUCGGGAAACCGGAGCUAAUACCGGAUAAUAUAUUGAACCGCAUGGUUCAAUAGUGAAAGACGGUUUUGCUGUCACUUAUAGAUGGAUCCGCGCCGCAUUAGCUAGUUGGUAAGGUAACGGCUUACCAAGGCAACGAUGCGUAGCCGACCUGAGAGGGUGAUCGGCCACACUGGAACUGAGACACGGUCCAGACUCCUACGGGAGGCAGCAGUAGGGAAUCUUCCGCAAUGGGCGAAAGCUUGACGGAGCAACGCCGCGUGAGUGAUGAAGGUCUUCGGAUCGUAAAACUCUGUUAUUAGGGAAGAACAAAUGUGUAAGUAACUAUGCACGUCUUGACGGUACCUAAUCAGAAAGCCACGGCUAACUACGUG